rnacentral:piRNA from 1 species
UUGCCUUGACCUUGUACCAGAGCCAUGAGU